GAUGAACGCUGGCGGCAUGCCUAAUACAUGCAAGUCGAACGAGAGGAAGGAAAGCUUGCUUUUCUGAAUCUAGUGGCGAACGGGUGAGUAACACGUAGGUAACCUGCCCAUGUGCCCGGGAUAACUUCUGGAAACGGAUGCUAAACCGGAUAGGUAGCAGACAAGCAUUUGACUGCUAUUAAAGCGGCUAAGGCCAUGAACAUGGAUGGACCUGCGGUGCAUUAGCUAGUUGGUGAGGUAACGGCCCACCAAGGCGACGAUGCAUAGCCGGCCUGAGAGGGCGGACGGCCACAUUGGGACUGAGACACGGCCCAAACUCCUACGGGAGGCAGCAGUAGGGAAUUUUCGUCAAUGGGGGGAACCCUGAACGAGCAAUGCCGCGUGAGUGAGGAAGGUCUUCGGAUCGUAAAGCUCUGUUGUAAGAGAAAAACGACAUUCAUAGGGAAUGAUGAGUGAGUGAUGGUAUCUUACCAGAAAGUCACGGCUAACUACGUGCCAGCCGCCGCGGUAA
rnacentral:rRNA from 1 species